GCUUUUCCAGCUCAUCCAAUUUAAGAAUCCACUCACCCUUUAUUUCCAAGGGCCUGACGUUACUGUAAUCAAUGCCAUCCUUAUCUCUACGGCUGGCUUCUGAUGACGCUAAUCCCUUCUUCUUUCUCUUGGCUUUCGUCUUCUGGGCGGCUGCUCUCUGCAGAGCCCAAAGCACAUCUGACCCACUUAUCUCCUUUCCCUCUUCUUGCUUGGCGUUGGAGGCGGCUGCUCUCUGCAGAGCCCAAAGCACAUCUGACCCACUUAUCUCCUUUCCCUCUUCUUGCUUGGCGUUGGAGGCGGCUGCCUUACGAGACAAACGGGGAUGGACUGAGACGUUGAUUGGAAAAGGGGUGAGUGGUGGAUGUUUGGU
rnacentral:lncRNA from 1 species